rnacentral:lncRNA from 1 species
CAUCUUUUGGGUUAGUAGUUUGAAAAAUGUGUCCGGUGACCCGGCCAUCCAACCAAGAUGGCCGCCAUGGCUAAAAAUAGAACAUGGGGUAAAAUGCAGUUUUUGGCUUAUAACUCAAUACCAAAAGCAUUUAGAGCAAAUCUGACAUGGGGUAAAAUUGUUUAUCAGGUCAACAUUUAUCUGCUCUGAAAUUUUCAGAUGAAUCGGAC